UAACGUGGACAACCUACCCUAUGGAGGGGGAUAACCCCGGGAAACUGGGGAUAAUACCCCAUAGACUAUAGAUGCUGGAAUGCUUUGUAGUUGAAAGGUCCGCCGCCAUAGGAUGGGUCUGCGGCCGAUUAGGUUGUUGUUGGGGUAACGGCCCAACAAGCCUGUAAUCGGUACGGGUUGUGGGAGCAAGAGCCCGGAGAUGGAUUCUGAGACACGAAUCCAGGCCCUACGGGGCGCAGCAGGCGCGAAAACUUUACAAUGCGGGAAACCGUGAUAAGGGAACUCCGAGUGCCCGUAAAAUCGGGCUGUCCAUCUGUUUAAAUAACAGGUGAAGAAAGGGCCGGGCAAGACCGGUGCCAGCCGCCGCGGUAAUACCGGCGGCUCGAGUGGUGGCCACUAUUACUGGGCUUAAAGCGUUCGUAGCUGGUCUGUUAAGUCUCUGGGGAAAUCUACUGGCUUAACCAAUAGGCGUCUCAGGGAUACUGGCAGACUAGGGACCGGGAGAGGUGAGAGGUACUCCAGGGGUAGGAGUGAAAUCCUGUAAUCCUUGGGGGACCACCUGUGGCGAAGGCGUCUCACCAGAACGGCUCCGACAGUGAGGGACGAAAGCUGGGGGAGCAAACCGGAUUAGAUACCCGGGUAGUCCCAGCCGUAAACGAUGCGCGUUAGGUGUAUCGGUGACCACGAGUCACCGACGUGCCGAAGAGAAAUCGUGAAACGUGCCGCCUGGAA
rnacentral:rRNA from 1 species